AUUGAACGCUGGCGGCAGGCUUAACACAUGCAAGUCGAGCGGAUGAAGGGAGCUUGCUCCUGGAUUCAGCGGCGGACGGGUGAGUAAUGCCUAGGAAUCUGCCUGGUAGUGGGGGAUAAAGUCCUGAAACGGGCGAUAAUACCGCAUACGUCCUGAGGGAUAAAGUGGGCUAUAUUCGGAGCUCACGCUCUCAGAUUAGCCUUAGUCGGAUUAGGUAGUAGUUGGGCUCAAAGCCUACCAAGGCUACGAUCCGUAACUGGGCUGAGAGGAUGAACAGUCACACUGGAAGUGUGACACGGCCCAGAGUCCUACGGGAGGCACCAGUGGGGAAUAUUGGGCAAUGGGCGGAAGAUUGUUGCAGACGGGCCGAGUGUGUGAAGCAGGUCUUCUGAUUGUAAAGCACUUUAUGUUGGGAGGAAGGGUAGUAAGUUAUUACCUUGCUGUUUUGACGUUACCAACAGAAUAAGCACCGGCUAACUUCGUG
rnacentral:rRNA from 1 species